rnacentral:rRNA from 1 species
UACAGAGGUGGCAAGCGUUGUUCGGAAUUACUGGGCGUAAAGGGCGCGUAGGCGGUCUGCCCAGUCCCGUGUGAAAGCCCCCGGCUCAACCGGGGAACGGCGCGGGAAACUAGCAGGCUUGAGUUCGGGAGAGGGAAGCGGAAUUCCGGGUGUAGCGGUGAAAUGCGCAGAUAUCCGGAGGAACACCGGUGGCGAAGGCGGCUUCCUGGACCGACACUGACGCUGAGGCGCGAAAGCUAGGGGAGCAAACGGG